GUUCCCACUGCAGACUGGAGAUCUGAACCUGGGUCUCACCACUACACCAAUCUGGCUGAAACAGAUGGACUGGUCAAAAGCCACACAGAGAACUUCAUGGCUGACUGAGGAUUUGAAUCCAGGUCUCUGUGUUCCAAGAUUUGUUCCCCUGUUCCAACUGCCCACUAGGCUGUACCCAUCCAUGUGACAGAACUCUGUAAUCUGGACAUUCAUUCAUAAACUUCAACUGUACUUAUGUAUUUUACCUGCAGAAUUGAAAGAGCACACAUACAGCCAUGCAAAAGGCAGCCUCAACCUACCACUUGACCUGCUUCAAGUCACCCUGUUCAGUACAGGAGUCUACAGCUGCAUCAAGGAAGGGCUUGUCGAAAGUAAUACCAACCAAAAAGGAUUUGCAAAUUGAUUUAUUUCCUUUUUAAAACCCACUUUUUCUGAGUUACAAGCUUCUGCAUCUUCCCCAAAAGGAAAUUCAAGAGAAUUCUGUCAAAAAGAAAUCACAUCAGUCUGGAAUGUGCCCAUUAGUGUCUGCUUCAGGAUGGCAGCACAUUCAAUAACAAAUGUGACUCACAGGGCUAAAAGCAGGCAUGGCUUUAUAUAGGUACCCACUAGCGCUGAAAGCUUUGUACUGGACCUCACCUU